rnacentral:pre_miRNA from 1 species
UGUGUACUCCCUCCGUUCCAAAAUACUUGACUUCCAUUUGUCCACAAAUGGAUGUACCUAUAUACUAAAACAUGUCUAGAUACAUAUAUAUUUUGACAAAUAGAAGGCAUGUAUUGUGCAACGGAGGGAGUAGAAU